GACGAACGCUGGCGGCGUGCUUAACACAUGCAAGUCGAACGAAGAGCGAUGGAAGCUUGCUUCUCUCAAUCUUAGUGGCGAACGGGUGAGUAACGCGUAAUCAACCUGCCCUUCAGAGGGGGACAACAGUUGGAAACGACUGCUAAUACCGCAUACGAUCUAAUCUCGGCAUCGAGGAUAGAUGAAAGGUGGCCUCUACAUGUAAGCUAUCACUGAAGGAGGGGAUUGCGUCUGAUUAGCUAGUUGGAGGGGUAACGGCCCACCAAGGCGAUGAUCAGUAGCCGGUCUGAGAGGAUGAACGGCCACAUUGGGACUGAGACACGGCCCAGACUCCUACGGGAGGCAGCAGUGGGGAAUCUUCCGCAAUGGACGAAAGUCUGACGGAGCAACGCCGCGUGAGUGAUGACGGCCUUCGGGUUGUAAAGCUCUGUUAAUCGGGACGAAAGGCCUUCUUGCGAAUAGUGAGAAGGAUUGACGGUACCGGAAUAGAAAGCCACGGCUAACUACGUG
rnacentral:rRNA from 1 species